CAGGGAUUGCCCUAGUAACGGCGAGUGAAGCGGCAACAGCUCAAAUUUGGAAUCUGGCCCUAGGCCCGAAUUGUAAUUUGUAGAGGAUGCUUCUGGUGACGUGCCUUCUGAGUUCCCUGGAACGGGACGCCAGAGAGGGUGAGAGCCCCGUAUAGUCGGCCACUGAACCUCUGUGAAGCCCCUUCGACGAGUCGAGUAGUUUGGGAAUGCUGCUCAAAAUGGGAGGUAAACUUCUUCUAAAGCUAAAUACCGGCCAGAGACCGAUAGCGCACAAGUAGAGUGAUCGAAAGAUGAAAAGCACUUUGAAAAGAGGGUUAAAAAGUACGUGAAACAAUUGAAAAGGAAGCACUUGUGACCAGACUUGUGCCGCGCGAAUCAUCCAGCGUUCUCGCUGGUGCACUUUGCGCGGUUCAGGCCAGCAUCGGUUUUUCUAGGGGGACAAAAGCUCUGGGAACGUGGCUCCUCCGGGAGUGUUAUAGCCCUCUGCACAAUACCCUUGGGGGGACCGAGGUUCGCGCUCUGCAAGGAUGCUGGCGUAAUGGUCAUCAGUGGCCCGUUG
rnacentral:rRNA from 1 species